GACGAACGCUGGCGGCGCGCCUAACACAUGCAAGUCGAACGAGAGAGAGGAAGCUUGCUUCCUCAAUCGAGUGGCGAACGGGUGAGUAACGCGUGAGGAACCUGCCUCAAAGAGGGGGACAACAGUUGGAAACGACUGCUAAUACCGCAUAAGCCCACGGGUCGGCAUCGACCAGAGGGAAAAGGAGCAAUCCGCUUUGAGAUGGCCUCGCGUCCGAUUAGCUGGUUGGUGAGGUAACGGCUCACCAAAGCAACGAUCAGUAGCUGGUCUGAGAGGACGACCAGCCACACUGGGACUGAGACACGGCCCAGACUCCUACGGGAGGCAGCAGUGGGGAAUUUUGGACAAUGGGCGCAAGCCUGAUCCAGCUAUUCCGCGUGUGGGAUGAAGGCCCUCGGGUUGUAAACCACUUUUGUAGAGAACGAAAAGACAUCUUCGAAUAAAGGAUGUUGCUGACGGUACUCUAAGAAUAAGCACCGGCUAACUACGUGCCAGCAGCCGCGGUAAUACGUAGGGUGCGAGCGUUAAUCGGAAUUACUGGGCGUAAAGGGUGCGCAGGCGGUUGAGUAAGACAGAUGUGAAAUCCCCGAGCUUAACUCGGGAAUGGCAUAUGUGACUGCUCGACUAGAGUGUGUCAGAGGGAGGUGGAAUUCCACGUGUAGCAGUGAAAUGCGUAGAUAUGUGGAAGAACACCGAUGGCGAAGGCAGCCUCCUGGGACAUAACUGACGCUCAGGCACGAAAGCGUGGGGAGCAAACAAAGAUUAGAUACCCUGGUAGUCCACGCCCUAAACGAUGUUAACUAGUUGUUGGGAUGUAACAAUCUCAGUAACGCAGCCAACGCGAGAAGUUAACCGCCUGGGAAGUACGGUCGCAAGACUAAAACUCAAAGGAAUAGACGGGGACCCGCACAAGCGGUGGAUGAUGUGGAUUAAUUCGAUGCAACGCGAAAAACCUUACCUACCCCCGACAUGUCAGGAAGCUCUUGUAAUGAGAGCGUGCCCGCAAGGGAGCCUGAACACAGGUGCUGCAUGGCUGUCGUCAGCUCGUGUCGUGAGAUGUUGGGUUAAGUCCCGCAACGAGCGCAACCCUUGUCACUAGUUGCUACGAAAGGGCACUCUAGUGAGACUGCCGGUGACAAACCGGAGGAAGGUGGGGAGGACGUCAAGUCCUCAUGGCCCUUAUGGGUAGGGCUUCACACGUCAUACAAUGGUCGGAACAGAGGGCAGCGAAGCCGUGAGGCGGAGCCAAUCCCAGAAAACCGAUCGUAGUCCGGAUUGCAGUCUGCAACUCGACUGCAUGAAGUCGGAAUCGCUAGUAAUCGCGGAUCAGCAUGCCGCGGUGAAUAAAAUCCCGGGUCUUGCACA
rnacentral:rRNA from 1 species